rnacentral:rRNA from 1 species
AGCGAACGCUGGCGGCAGGCUUAACACAUGCAAGUCGAGCGGGCACUUCGGUGUCAGCGGCAGACGGGUGAGUAACACGUGGGAACGUACCCUUCGGUUCGGAAUAACGCUGGGAAACUAGCGCUAAUACCGGAUACGCCCUUUUGGGGAAAGGUUUACUGCCGAAGGAUCGGCCCGCGUCUGAUUAGCUAGUUGGUGGGGUAAUGGCCUACCAAGGCGACGAUCAGUAGCUGGUCUGAGAGGAUGAUCAGCCACACUGGGACUGAGACACGGCCCAGACUCCUACGGGAGGCAGCAGUGGGGAAUAUUGGACAAUGGGCGCAAGCCUGAUCCAGCCAUGCCGCGUGAGUGAUGAAGGCCUUAGGGUUGUAAAGCUCUUUUGUCCGGGACGAUAAUGACGGUACCGGAAAAAUAAGCCCCGGCUAACUUCGUG